CCGCCCCGAGGAGUUCUGCGCGCGCUCGCGCAGCCCGGUGAGUUCCUGGGCCCGGGCGGGGCAGGCGGGGCUUGGGCUCCGGGCGCGGCUCGGCCCGGGGGCAGGCGCGGGGCGCGGAGGGUGGGGCUCUGCUUGGCGGCCCCGCGGCCCCUCGGCCCCUCGGCCCCUCGGCCCCUUUCCCCCGUCCCGUCCGAUGUUCCUCCUCCCCGGGCCGGGCCGGGACUGGACGGAAGGGAAGGGUGGGGGGGCGGCCCUGGGCCUUCUCCGAACUCCGGUGUGGAGGAAGGAAGGAGCACGUGUGCGUGUGAGUGUGACCCUGACCGUGACUGGCAGUGCGAAAGCCGGAGUGAGCCCGCGCCGCGGCAUGUGCCCGGAGGCUGGGGGGGGGGGGGGCACAAACUUUUCCUUUGGGUGGGGCCCAGCUUUGUCCGGCAUUCUAGGCCUCUGGUCCCCCGGGUGUGCCAACCUUCCCGGCUCCCUCUUCAGGCCAGGAGGAAGGGGGGCCGCGGCCUGUCAGCUGACUGCCCACAAGUUUUGGCUGAGCACCUGCAGGGAGCCCCCCUGACCUGCAGGCUCCUCCUCCCUUUGUGGGGGGCCCAGGCAGGCCGUUUGGGGCCUGCCCAUCCCCUCUGGACGCUGGGCCACUGCCCCGGCGCCCCCAGUGUGCAGAGACCUCCGGGCUUGGGCCAGCACCCUCCCAAUGGUGCCCGGCUCCUGAAGCACCUCUGGGGGUGCUGUGCCAGGCACUGGCGGGGCGAGCCCCUCGCCUUGGCUCAGGGAAGCAGCCUCUACACUGACAAGUUAAUGCAAAAGUCUGGCCGCCGGGAGGGGGGCCGCCGGGGGCGUGGGGGGCACCGAGGGGCUGCCGUGACCCGGCUGAGCCUCGAGAGCUGCCAAAACUUCACCAGGGCUGUGCUGAGGAAGUGCCAGGCCGCUGGCUGGAGAGCCGGGAAAGGACUGGCUCCUACCGGCAGGAGGGGGCCAGUGCAUGCCAGGAGCCCUCCUGGUCUCCAGCCCGGCCUGGGCACAUCCCUGUCUUUUUCUGCCUCUUGGAUGCCUUUCCUGCGUGGUGCCCACUCGGGCUUGCUCUGCCUUUGUUCUGUGUCUCUGGGCCUGGCUAGUGGCCAGUCGGGGCAUUCCAGAGGGCCCGGAGUGGCUGCCCCUCCUCUGACAUUCCUGCCUGCCUGUUGGGACCCCUCCCUCCAGAAAGGGGUGAUUGGGGGUGGCUGCUCCCCUCCCCCUUACAUGCCAGGGACUGCUGCCACCCACUCUGCCCAGGGGGAGGGGCCCAGGCCCUUUUUUGGUGCUUUCUGCUUUUCUGAAGUUGGAUUCCAUAGAAAGUUUGAGCGAAGCCAACCCGACUGUCAGGGCCAAGGGAAGCCCCAGAGCAAAGCCCCCCGGGGAGAACCCUGA
rnacentral:lncRNA from 1 species